GAACAGCUGAGUUGAACCAGCAAGAUAUCUCCCAUCACAGGGACCUGGUAUGAAAAGCUGAGAACAGCAUCCUCCUUGGCAGUGUAUGCAGUCUGUGGCUUGCUGGAUUGCUCUAAGAGAAAGAGUUAUCU